UUUUUCUUUUUCUUUCUUUCUUUUCUCUUUUCCUUCCUCCCUUCCCUCUUCUUCUCCCUUCCCCUUCCCGCUCUCCUGUUCCCUCUCCCGAAACUGCCUCUACAAACACAUACAUUUUUUUUUUUUUUUGCUUUUCUCCUUUCCUUCCCCCGCCACCCCUUUCCUCCCCUCUCCUCUGCCACUACCCUCUGCCCACCAUCCCUUUCCUCCUCCCUCUGCUCGCCAUCUCCCUUGGCCCGCCACCCUCUCUGCCCCUUUAGAUACCUAUUUAGAUCUUUCUGGUCCAAAGGAAGUAAGAGCAAUUAUGACGCUGCCAUAUCCGUGAAAGACGCCAUCCCAGUUUUGGCAAAGGAAAAGAACGAUAAUAAUGAGGAAAAAGAUGAGUUGGAUCAUGAUGGGCGAAAAGGGAAUUGGGUUUUCAAGAUUUUGCACGUUAGGUCCCUGUGGAAGCAAGAAGAAGAAGAUGAUGAUGAUUUAGAGGUGAGGACACCGGUGGAAGAAGCAAAAUUAGAAAGCAAUGGGCUGUAAGGGAGGAAAAGAAGGAGAGGGAAAAAGGAAAAAAAAAAAAAAAGACUGGCGCUGGAACCGGCGGCGGAGGUGGUGGUAGGGAAGGAAGAAGAAGAAAAGGGGAAGGGAAAAUUUUUUUUUUUGUGUUUUGGAUAUUUUAAGUGUGUAGGUUAGAAACUUUGAUAAGUUUUUGGGGUUUCUGUAGCAAAAAUUAUAAAAAAACUAGUAUAAUAUAAACUUGCAAAAAAAUUAGACUUCCAAACAGGUCCUUAAUAUAUUGUUAUCAUGAUUUUUGACAAGAUUCCGCAGAUAUUGUGGCCAUUGGUGCUUUAUCAUCGGGUGGUUCAUUUAAUGCAUCUUUGAUAUACUAUUUGUUCGUGUCUACAUCCUCGACAAGUUUGAAUGCUUAGUGUUGCCCAAA
rnacentral:lncRNA from 1 species